GUUACCAUUACACAGGCCAUCAUUUUCCAGUUCUCAUGUCAAAAACAUCACUAUAAGCAUUUAGUGAAUCUGAGGCACUCGGUAUCAAUGUUCACUGCAUCGCGUCAGAUACGGGAGGGCAAAAUCGAGCUGUAUGGUGAGAAUUUGGAAUUGUUGUUGGCAGGUUUUCAAAAUUAGUCAAUUUUUGCCAGUAUCCUUGUGAUGAUAACAGGAAGCUAAUUUUCCUCAGAUAUACACCACACUUUUUGAAAAUAUGAGGAACCACUUAGUCACCGGGCAAUAAGUCUUCCUUUCACAAAAUGUUGUCAAGGAACGAUAUCUACCUUGUAAUGAGGUACAUAUAAAUCGUGUAAAGCAGUCACUUGAGAUAGACAAUGGUUUAAGUCUUAAACUGGCACCACAACUGUAUGAGAGGUGUUUGAUGCCAAACCUUUAUGAUAAAAUGAAAGUUGGCUUGGCUACUGCCCUAAUUAUCAGCCAGACUGCAGCAGCCAUUGAGUAUGGUGCCAGGACAGAGAAACUGCAGAAAAAUGAUUUAACCACAGCACGGUUUCUAAAGCACGUUCAUAAGUGGUUUCGCCACAUGACAUGUAGAGCUCCAGUUAUGGCUCUGAGUCGUUCUGAUGAACAAACAUACAGUGAGGCUCUCUGUCAUCUGGAGGACACUCCGUGUUUAUUUCAAAACUUGAAAAUUGGUCUGAAGGGUGCCUGGAAACCAGUUCAGUUUUUGUAGUUUUGUCAACUGUAGGUAUUUUGGAAUUGCAGGACACAUUCGUGAAUGAGAAGAAUUUUAAAUUUCUGCUGACAAGUAGAUUUGCACAAGAUGCUUUAGAAAAUCUGUUUUCAAUGGUCUUCUGAAAAAAUCCAGUAUCAGCACCAUCAUAACUGAAAACAGCACUGAUGAUUAUUACUCUUUCUUAAUUCUUUAUUUCUACCACUGAUAAUAAGAAUUAAGACAGUAGAUUCCUGGCAGAAUUAGUGGGGUAAUUUGUAAGUGAAGAUGAGGAUAAGUGUGCUGAGGAAGUUGACGAGCCACUUGUAACGUGGUGUGUGAUGAUGAGCACCAGUCUCUCUACUAUUUAUGUUGUCACAGUGUUAGGCAAGCUAUGAAGCGCCAUGCGCUUUGCGAAUUUUGCGAGGAGAGCCUAAUCGCAUCUAAAGAAAAUCCCUGUACGUCUGUGAACAUGGUUUCACAUCUGAAGUCCUUUAAAGAUACCUCACUUAUUCAGCCACCAUGUGAGGUUUUCAGUGUAUUGCAAAUGGCAGAGGUUUAUUUUAGAAGCAACAAAAGAAAUUACUCACAGGUGAAUUUUUGCUCUCUGAUAUAGCCACUUGUGUGUUUGCAUCAGUGGAGGAGAAAGUAGUUUUCCCAGCCAGCCACUUUAUACAGAAGAAAAUAAUUCGCUUUGUUGGCAACAAGAGUACAUAUGCUUCUAAAUGAGGCAAAUAAAAGAUACCAGGGUGUAGUGACACAGGGCAGUAGAAGCUUGGGCAUGAGAAAAUUGUUGCAGAAUCUGCGACUUCCAGAAUAACUUUUUACUAAAUAAUUUGGAAAAUUACAUUGAAACUUCUUUAGGUUAUUGUUAACAUAAUGAGGUACAAAAUCUGUGGUAACAUUUUCUCU